CACGUAGGGGGCAAGCGUUGUCCGGAUUUAUUGGGCGUAAAGAGCUCGUAGGCGGUCCGGUAAGUUGGGUGUGAAACCUCCAGGCUCAACCUGGAGACGCCACCCGAUACUGCUGUGACUAGAGUCCGGUAGGGGAGCGUGGAAUUCCUGGUGUAGCGGUGAAAUGCGCAGAUAUCAGGAGGAACACCAGCGGCGAAGGCGGCGCUCUGGGCCGGAACUGACGCUGAGGAGCGAAAGCGUGGGGAGCGAACAGG
rnacentral:rRNA from 1 species